rnacentral:ribozyme from 1 species
GAGAAAGAAAGAGAGAAAGAAAAGAGAAAAGAGAAGAAAAAGAAGAGGAAGAGAACAAACCUUUCUCUUGUUUCCAUCGACCUCUCUUUCUUCUUCCCUUCU